rnacentral:rRNA from 1 species
AUGAAUAUUUCUGUCAGUUUUGCUUCAGAUACUAGGAAACCUCUGAACAUCUUUUCUGGAAGUGCCCCUUUUCAUCUUCAGUCUGGACAAGAACUGCUGAAGGCAACGGAUGUAGCUCCUUGCACCAAAGUUGUGGAGAUCAUAGCAGAAAUGGUAAACAGAGCAAGGCCAGAGCACAAAAAGGCAAUCAAAACAAUGAUCAUCAUGAUUUUAGGAGACAUCUGGCAUCAGCGCAACGAGUGCACCUUCAAAGGCAAGAUAAUCAACCUGACCGAAACCAUGGCAAGCAUCAGAAGGAUCCACCAUAAGUAG